rnacentral:rRNA from 1 species
GCGACCUCAGAUCAGACGAGACAACCCGCUGAAUUUAAGCAUAUUACUAAGCGGAGGAAAAAGAAACUAACAAGGAUUCCCUCAGUAGCGGCGAGCGAAGAGAGAAGAGCCCAGCGCCGAAUCCCCGCCCGGCGGUCGGGCGCGGGAAAUGUGGCGUACGGAAGUCUGCUUGCCCGGCGGCGGCAGGGGGGCCUGAGUCCUUCUGAUAGAGGCUCUGCCCGUAGACGGUGUGAGGCCGGUAAAGGCUCCCGUCGCGCCGGGGUCCGGUCUUCUCGGAGUCGGGUUGUUUGUGAAUGCAGCCCAAAGCGGUGAUAACUCCAUCUAAGCUAAUACCGGCGCGAGACCGAUAGCCGACAGUACCUUAAGGGAAAGUUGAAAAGACUUUGAAGAGAAGUCAACAGGCGUGAAACCGUUGAGAGGUAACCGGGGGGUCCGCGCAGUCUGCGCGGGGAAUUCAGCUCCGGGGAUCGGUCGGUCGCUUGGUGCGUGUGGGGGGGGGGUCUCCUCCCCUCCCGACGCCUCGCUGGCCUGUGCCUUCUCCGGGGUGCACUUCCUCCGUGGCGAUGCGCCGCGACCGGCUCCUGUUCGGCUUGAAAAGGCUCGGGGUUAAGGUGGCCCGCGGCGCGAGUCGCGUGCUUUACAGCGCCCCCUGGCCCGUACCUCGCCGCUUCUGGAGGGCCGUGGACUUAGUACUCGCUGCGCCCUCUCUCCCCGCGGGGAGAGACGGGGCCCCCUGCUCCCGGCGUGGCUGUCGAGCGGGGCGGACUGUUCUCAGUGCGCCCCAACCGCGUCGCGUCGCCCGGGCGGGGAUCGGCUCUCGUAAAAGGCGUCAGGAGUCUGCGGCGAUGUCGGCAACCCACCGGACCCGUCUUGAAACACGGACCAAGGAGUCUAACGCGUGCGCGAGUCAGAGGGUGGUUACGAAACCCCGUGGCGCAAUGAAAGUGAGGGCCGGCGCGCGCCGGCCGAGGUGGGAUCCCGGCCCCCCCGUGGGCAGGGCGCACCACCGGCCCGUCUCGCCCGCAGCGUCGGGGAGGUGGAGCGUGAGCGCACGCGAUAGGACCCGAAAGAUGGUGAACUAUGCCUGGGCAGGGCGAAGCCAGAGGAAACUCUGGUGGAGAGCCGGCAGCGGUCCUGACGUGCAUGAAUGGAUGAACGAGAUUCCCACUGUCCCUACCGACUAUCUAGCGAAACCACAGCCAAGGGGACGGGCUUGGCAGAAUCAGCGGGGAAAGAAGACCCUGUUGAGCUUGACCCAAGCUUGAAGAAAUUUAAUGAAGCGCGGGUAAACGGCGGGAGUAACUAUGACUCUCUUAAGGUAACCAAAUGCCUCGUCAUCUAAUUAGUGACGCGCAUGAAUGGAUGAACGAGAUUCCCACUGUCCCUACCGACUAUCUAGCGAAACCACAGCCAAGGGGACGGGCUUGGCAGAAUCAGCGGGGAAAGAAGACCCUGUUGAGCUUGACCCAAGCUUGAAGAAAUUUAAUGAAGCGCGGGUAAACGGCGGGAGUAACUAUGACUCUCUUAAGGUAACCAAAUGCCUCGUCAUCUAAUUAGUGACGCGCAUGAAUGGAUGAACGAGAUUCCCACUGUCCCUACCGACUAUCUAGCGAAACCACAGCCAAGGGGACGGGCUUGGCAGAAUCAGCGGGGAAAGAAGACCCUGUUGAGCUUGACUCUAGUCUAGCACUGUGAAGAGACAUCGAUCCAAGCUUUUGUCGGAGCCGGGCGUGGGCCCCACCGACCCCCUUCCCCUGUGUCCCCAUUACCUGGUGCCCCAAAAUCAGCAGCAAAAAAAAGACAGAGUGUUGGAUGGAGGGGGGGGGGCUCGGCCCGGCGGAGACAGACCGCCUAGGAGCACCCGGCGCGGGCCGGGGCAGAGGCCGGCCCCCCCCUGGUGCGUGAAAAUUUACACAAGUUUUCUUUAAUUAUUACCUGAUGCACAGAGCUUUGGCCGGGCGGACUGAAGGGUUUAGUCCGAGGAGGAGUGCUUAAGUGUGGGGGAGCAGGCCCGGACGGUGGGCCUGGCUUCCCGGAAUUAAUACAAGUUCUUUAAUAUUACCUGAUGCACGGAGGUUUUGGCGGGCGGGCUAAAGGGUUUAGUCCGAGGGGGGGUGCUUAAGUGUGGGGGCCCGGGGC